UUGAAUUAAGGGAAGAUUUCAUCACGUUUUUGAUGAAUUUCUUAGUUGUUGACGCAAAACUCCAAAUUUACUUAGGGCUUUAUUUUAUCCCCAAAUUAGCUUUGUUUGCACCCAUUUUUUGAGGAUUAUGAUUUCUUGAUGAUGUGUGAGUAUUGGGUUGGCCUCAGAAAUGUGUUUUUCAUAAGUGAGACUAAUUUGAGGUUUUUGAUGUCGUUUUUGGAAUCAAAGCACAAUAGUGCAAUAUGGGUAACGUUUGACUUGUAUUAAUGAGUAAAUUAUAUUUUUGAUAGCAUGAUGGCAUUUUGGGGAUUGUGAAGUGAAGACGAGCAUGUUGUGAAUGAUAUACCCAGCAUGGCCAAAGAUCGUGAUGAUGACAUUGAUACUCGGCAAGGCAGGAGGAUAUUGUGAUGAUGAUAUUAAUACCUGACAAGGACAAAUGAUGUUGAGAUGAUGAUACAUAUACCAGGUUAUCGCCGUUGAUGUGUGUGUCGUGCGGAGCAGCCAUGGUUCAAAGAUACAGAGUUAGCUCCCGGCAUUCGGAGUAUUACUUUCUUUCCUCUUAUGUAUAGACUAGUCUCUAUAUUGUAUUCGGAGAUAAGUUAUAUCAAUAUAAUUUUUUUUAGCUUUUCCACUUUUCUACUCUUAUUAUAUUAGAAGUUCUUGUACUGAUACCACCAGAUUUUGGGAUUUAUUCAUGUAUUUGAACUUUUGUUAUAUAUUAUUCCACAUUCUUUCCUU